rnacentral:rRNA from 3 species
CGAGACCUCAGGUCAGGCGGGGUUACCCGCUGAG